rnacentral:rRNA from 1 species
AGAGAUAGAGGAGUGCUCGAAAGAGAGCCGUAACACAGGUGCUGCAUGGGCUGUCGUCAGCUCGUGUCGUGAGAUGUUGGGUUAAGUCCCGCAACGAGCGCAACCCUUGUCAUUAGUUGCUACAUUUAGUUGGGCACUCUAAUGAGACUGCCGGUGACAAACCGGAGGAAGGUGGGGAUGACGUCAAGUCCUCAUGGCCCUUAUAGGUGGGGCUACACACGUCAUACAAUGGAUGGUACAAAGGGUCGCCAACCCGCGAGGGGGAGCCAAUCCCAUAAAGCCAUUCGUAGUCCGGAUCGCAGUCUGCAACUCGACUGCGUGAAGUCGGAAUCGCUAGUAAUCGUGGAUCAGAAUGUCACGGUGAAUACGUUCCCGGGUCUU